CACGUAGGGGCCAAGCGUUGUCCGGAUUUAUUGGGCGUAAAGAGCUCGUAGGCGGUUCGACAAGUCGGGUGUGAAAACUCCGGGCUCAACCCGGAGACGCCACCCGAUACUGUCGUGACUGGAGUCCGGUAGGGGAGUGGGGAAUUCCUGGUGUAGCGGUGAAAUGCGCAGAUAUCAGGAGGAACACCGGUGGCGAAGGCGCCACUCUGGGCCGGUACUGACGCUGAGGAGCGAAAGCGUGGGCAGCAAACAGG
rnacentral:rRNA from 1 species